GUUGGUUACCAUAGCGGAAAACAUAACACCCGAUUCCAUCCCGAACUCGGCAGUGAAAGUUUCCAGCGCUGAUGGUAGUGCAUCUUAAGGUGUGCGAGAGUAAGACGUUGCCAACU
rnacentral:rRNA from 1 species